rnacentral:rRNA from 1 species
UACAGAGGUCUCAAGCGUUUGUUCGGAUUCAUUGGGCGUAAAGGGUGCGUAGGUGGCGCGGUAAGUCGGGUGUGAAAUUUCGGAGCUUAACUCCGAAACUGCAUUCGAUACUGCGGUGCUUGAGGACUGGAGAGGAGACUGGAAUUCAUGGUGUAGCAGUGAAAUGCGUAGAGAUCAUGAGGAAGACCAGUGGCGAAGGCGGGUCUCUGGACAGUUCCUGACACUGAGGCACGAAGGCCAGGGGAGCAAAACGGG